GACGAACGCUGGCGGCGUGCCUAAUACAUGCAAGUUGAGCGAUGAAGAUUGGUGCUUGCACCAAUUUGAAGAGCAGCGAACGGGUGAGUAACGCGUGGGGAAUCUGCCUUUGAGCGGGGGACAACAUUUGGAAACGAAUGCUAAUACCGCAUAACAACUUUAAACAUAAGUUUUAAGUUUGAAAGAUGCAAUUGCAUCACUCAAAGAUGAUCCCGCGUUGUAUUAGCUAGUUGGUGAGGUAAAGGCUCACCAAGGCGAUGAUACAUAGCCGACCUGAGAGGGUGAUCAACCACAUUGGGACUGUGACACGGCCCAAACUCCUACGGGAGGCAGCGGUAGGGAAUCUUCGGCAAUGGACGAGAGUCUGACCGAGCAACGCCGCGUGAGUGAAGAAGGUUUUCGGAUCGUAAAACUCUGUUAGUAGAGAAGAGCGUUGGUGAGAGUGGAAAGCUCAUGCAGUGACGGUACCUAACCAGAAAGGGACGGCUAACUACGUG
rnacentral:rRNA from 1 species